GGCGUUUGUUGUGGCUGUUGCUGCGUAGCCGCAGUGGCUACAGUGCGCGUAGCUUGGCUACAGACUGGCGUUGAGUUGUGUAAUACACCUCGAGCAUUGAAUUUUAAUGUGAAACACUAACGAGGCUAUAAUGGCGCAGUUAAAUUCGGAGUUAUGUAAGGUCAUCGACACGCUUACAUCUUCGGCAGCGGCACAUGUUAAAAAGGAGUGCAUGUCGAAACUGAAGCUAUUAUGUCGUUCGUCUGACUGUUUAUUGAGGGAAGCCUGUGACCUGCUAAAAGAAAGGCUGGAGGAAAACGAUGCCGAUGUUCGUCUAGACACGCUUGCUGUCAUUCAUGAACUGUUCACUAGGUCGCACCUAUUUCGGACGUUGAUCUUGGAAGACUUUCAGAAGAUCCUCGAACUGCUUGUCGAAACAAACCCGGACUUGCCGCUUCCUGGAACUCCAGCACAGGCCAAGAACUUAAAGACGAAAUCAUUAGAAACGAUCGAAAAGUGGAACGAGAAAUUCGGGCCCAGCUAUAAAAUACUUUCCCUUGCCGUGGAAUACUUGAAGACUUGUAAGCAGAAGGUGCAGAAAAUGGAAGAGCAGCCCGCCUGGUCUCGAAGGCUUCUUUCCGAGAUUUCUGAGCGGACACCAGAUGUGCAGCUGAUUGUCACGCAAAUAGAAAACUGCUUUCGACUAUUAGUGCCCAGUGAAGCAGAAGAAGACGCAAGCAAGGAAUCUGUAUCGGCUAUAGAUCCAUUGCCAGGAACAUCAUUAGCCGAGCGUCUUAGAGAUCAUGCAGUGCCUUUGACAUUCAGUAUGGAAAUAGAAGUGUCACGAAAGGUGAAUGUGCUGAAGACAGCAGACAAUGAAGAGGUUUUGGAUACCCUGAGACGACUUCACAAAGAGUUGAUGGAGACAUUCUUUCCAGUGGUUAAAAAGUGGCUUAAAGGUCUGGCCAAGUUUGACCACCCAAUGGAAGUAAUGAGGAACACAAUUGACCUCAAGCAUCGCAUUGAAAUUGUGCAUGAGAAGUUUGGAGAUUUAAAUGUUGGAUCUGAGGAGUCGUCUGACAGUGAACUUGAAGAGGUGCCAGAAAAAGAAGGCUUUGAACCUGUGGUUCCUGUUGCACGACGGGCGGAGUACGGUCUUGGGCCGGUAGAGAAAAAACUAAAAGUAAAGACACCAGAUAAAGCUGCUCAUCCCAAGGAACCUCAUGAACUGUCUGACCCAACCUCUAGAGAGGCACAGCUUCGAAGGCUCAACAAGUUGCUUAGCAGUGAAUGCAGCAGUAACAAUGGUAAUCCGAGUGGAAAGAUCGUGCCCAGUAUUAACAUUUCUUGCAGAGAUCUCGAGGAGGCUGGUCCAAGCACAUCGAACAAUGCUCCAGUGCGGAAUAUUGACCUAGACUUGAUUUAUUGGGAACAAGAAAAGAUUGAAAAAGAAGGAGGCAGUGGCUUCAGUGACCUGAACUGUGUCUGGAAGGGGACCUCCAAAGAUGAUAACGUGCAAGCACAGGAUUUGCCUUUCCGGGAACGGUGCAUUGAAUUUAGUGGGAAAUUUGAGCCAGUUAAGUGGACCUGCCGUGCACCACUUCCAAGUGGCAAAUUGUGUCCUCGACGUGAUCGGCUGAAGGGAUGAUCUUGGCAACCCGCGGGACUCGAGCGUAGUGCAGCCAACUCAAUGUGUUCCUGAGUGGCAAGAUCCCCAGCUGCUCCGUGACCUCGAGGCUGCCACAGGUGUCCAGCUCCAUGUAGGUCGACCAGUGCGGAAGCAGCACACCCGUCGCGGUCCAGUAAGCACUGCUAGGAUGCGCCUUGAGAAGAAAAUUUUUAACAAGCGAGCAGCGAAAAGAGUGGCUGAGUCGAUGGAUGCUGUUGACAGCAAGAAGUUCCAGGAAAAGUUUGGCCAUCAGUGGAAUUAUGCAUUAGGGACAUGAGAGAGCUAAUAAUGUUUUGUGUGAUAGGCUUCCAUGGUUGUCUCCUGUGAACUUGAAUGAAGAAUCCUGCUGCAGAGCACCUUAUGAAUUUCUAACACAUUUAGUGCUGAGCAUGACCUCAGCCCACACAUGGGUGUUUGCCAAGGCAGUCUUGCUGAGCACACUGAGCUGAAAUGCCUGGCUGGCUUUGUCCUAACAUUAGACUGACAUUUGAGAAAGCACUGCCUGGUUGAUGGAUUUUGUGCUUUGGAAUACCUAGUAAGAAGCAUGUAGCUUUGCUCAUAAGCUAAUGCACUACUGUGUCAAUGCAUUUGUUACUUUGAGCUCAGAAUAGUUGAUUCUCCAUGCAGCAAGGACAUGUCGCCAUUUUUGUGUUGUGAAUAUGUUCUUCAGUUAAAGUUUUUCAUGAGGCUUAUUGUAGUCACUUUAAAAACUAUUUGUAUAUCAUUUGAUCAAAUUUGGUCUGCCUUCUCAUUGGCAUUUGUGUUUGACCACUAUGACCUGUAUAAAGGAGGGACUACAGAAAUACUCAUGGAAACAUGUGUCGAAGAACAAGAGAUACUUAUAUUUGGUAAAGUAUGAAUGAGCCGUCUCUCUCUUGUGCUGUGUGUCAAUAAAAGCACGCUAUACGUACAUAAAUGUCAAUGAUAACAUGACAAAGCAUUCAAGCAUCAAAUCACUAUCAUCUUCUUUAUAGCCUUGUUGGUUUGGAAUGCAAUGGUUGGGUUUGUAGGAAAGUGAGUGACAUCGAAUCUCCUUUCCAUAAGAGCAUGAAAAUAAAAUGGUUUUCCAAGGUUAUAGAAUGUUUUGUCCUUGUCUUUUGAUAAGCUGUUGUAAAUCAUAGUGUUAGCAAAUAUGUCUUUUGGUGAUCAAUUUUGUUUCAUCAAAUCACUAUCAUCUUCUUUAUAGCCUUGUUGGUUUGGAAUGCAAUGGUUGGGUUUGUAGGAAAGUGAGUGACAUCGAAUCUCCUUUCCAUAAGAGUAUGAAAAUAAAAUGGUUUUCCAAGGUUA
rnacentral:misc_RNA from 1 species